AUUGAACGCUGGCGGCAGGCCUAACACAUGCAAGUCGAGCGGAUGAAGGGAGCUUGCUCCUGGAUUCAGCGGCGGACGGGUGAGUAAUGCCUAGGAAUCUGCCUGGUAGUGGGGGACAACGUCCGGAAGCGGGCGCUAAUACCGCAUACGUCCUGAGGGAGAAAGUGGGGGAUCUUCGGACCUCACGCUAUCAGAUGAGCCUAGGUCGGAUUAGCUAGUUGGUGGGGUAAAGGCCUACCAAGGCGACGAUCCGUAACUGGUCUGAGGGGAUGAUCAGUCACACUGGAACUGAGACACGGUCCAGACUCCUACGGGAGGCAGCAGUGGGGAAUAUUGGACAAUGGGCGAAAGCCUGAUCCAGCCAUGCCGCGUGUGUGAAGAAGGUCUUCGGAUUGUAAAGCACUUUAAGUUGGGAGGAAGGGCAGUAGGUUAAUACCUUGCUGUUUUGACGUUACCAACAGAAUAAGCACCGGCUAACUUCGUG
rnacentral:rRNA from 1 species